rnacentral:rRNA from 1 species
UAGGGAAUUUUGCGCAAUGGGCGAAAGCCUGACGCAGCGACGCCGCGUGGGUGAUGAAGGCCUUCGGGUUGUAAAGCCCUGUGGGGAGGGACGAAUAAGUGUCGGUGAAUAUCCGGCGCGAUGACGGUACCUCCUUAGCAAGCACCGGCUAACUCUGUG